UACGAAGGGGGCUAGCGUUGCUCGGAAUCACUGGGCGUAAAGGGUGCGUAGGCGGGUCUUUAAGUCAGGGGUGAAAUCCUGGAGCUCAACUCCAGAACUGCCUUCGAUACUGGAGCUUGAGUCCGGGAGAGGUGAGUGGAACUGCGAGUGUAGAGGUGAAAUUCGUAGAUAUUCGCAAGAACACCAGUGGCGAAGGCGGCUCACUGGCCCGGUACUGACGCUGAGGUGCGAAAGCGUGGGGGAGCAAACAGG
rnacentral:rRNA from 1 species